UGUGUUCACACGGCGAGACCGCGGACGGCUCAUUAAAUCAGUCGUGGUCCAAAUGGGCCAGUGCAAAUCCUACUUGGAUAACUGUGGUAAUUCCAGAGCUAAUACAUGCAACUGAUAUCCCGAAGGCGAUGGUUGUGCUUGCUUGUCUUGCGCUCUCACUGCUCUGACGGAUGCUUUUAUUAGACCAAACUGCUGAGGACUUGAGGGUUCGCCUUCUUGUCUGACUCGUGUAAUGGUGACUCUGGAUAACCAAUCUGACGAGCGCACGUACUUCUCUUCUGAGCGAGACGGCGCUGCCACUUUCGAGUGUCUGCCUUAUCAGCUAUCAACCGUUCGUUAUGCGCGACCGAUGGCUUUGACGGGUAACGGGGAAUCAGGGUUCGAUUCCGGAGAGGCAGCCUGAGAGACGGCUACCACGUCCAAGGACGGCAGCAGGCACGCAAAUUACCCAAUCCCAGCAAAUGGGGGAGGUAGUGACGAAAUCUAACGAUGCGGGCGCCCUUUCUGGGGCCCCGCAAUCGGAAUGGGCACUUUCUAAACAACCUGUUGAGAACCUACUGAAGGGCAAGUCUGGUGCCAGCAGCCGCGGUAAUUCCAGCUUCAGCAGCAUCUAUUAAAGUUGCUGCGGUUAAAAGGCUCGCAGUUGAAUGUCUGUAUCGAGCGCAGGUCAGGUGGACGUU
rnacentral:rRNA from 1 species